AACGAACGCUGGCGGCAGGCUUAACACAUGCAAGUCGAACGCAUCCUUCGGGGUGAGUGGCAGACGGGUGAGUAACGCGUGGGAACGUGCCCUUCAGUUCGGGAUAACCCAGGGAAACUUGGGCUAAUACCGGAUACGUGCGAGAGCAGAAAGAUUUAUCGCUGAAGGAUCGGCCCGCGUCUGAUUAGCUAGUUGGUGGGGUAAUGGCCCACCAAGGCGACGAUCAGUAGCUGGUCUGAGAGGAUGAUCAGCCACAUUGGGACUGAGAAACGGCCCAAACUCCUACGGGAGGCAGCAGUGGGGAAUAUUGGGCAAUGGGCGCAAGCCUGAUCCAGCCAUGCCGCGUGAGUGAUGAAGGCCUUAGGGUUGUAAAGCUCUUUCGUCCGGGACGAUAAUGACGGUACCGGAAGAAGAAGCCCCGGCUAACUUCGUGCCAGCCGCCGCCGUAAAAC
rnacentral:rRNA from 1 species